rnacentral:rRNA from 1 species
CCUACGGCGGCUGCAGUGGGGAAUAUUGGACAAUGGGCGAAAGCCUGAUCCAGCCAUGCCGCGUGUGUGAAGAAGGCCUUCGGGUUGUAAAGCACUUUCAGUGGGGAAGAAAGCCUUGGGGCUAAUACCCUCGAGGAAGGACAUCACCCACAGAAGAAGCACCGGCUAACUCCGUGCCAGCAGCCGCGGUAAUACGGAGGGUGCGAGCGUUAAUCGGAAUUACUGGGCGUAAAGCGCGCGUAGGCGGUCUGAUAAGCCGGUUGUGAAAGCCCCGGGCUCAACCUGGGAACGGCAUCCGGAACUGUCAGGCUAGAGUGCAGGAGAGGAAGGUAGAAUUCCCGGUGUAGCGGUGAAAUGCGUAGAGAUCGGGAGGAAUACCAGUGGCGAAGGCGGCCUUCUGGACUGACACUGACGCUGAGGUGCGAAAGCGUGGGUAGCAAACAGGAUUAGAUACCCGAGUAGUC